CUUCAGAAGUUACUAAUAUGUCCAUAAAAUUUCAGUAUAAUUAUGAAACAAUUUGUUCUUUUUUUAAACACUUAUCUACUGGAGCCCCUAUCACGAACAUAAUAAAUAUGUACACCAGGUGGCCCAUUUAGAUCGGUCCGUAUGGGAAAAUCCGAAACUAUAAGACUUACGAUGAUCUCUCGAACCAUGUCAUCGAUUUUAGUUACAAGAAAAACUGCAUUCAUACAUUAAAAAAAUUUACUUCGUUUUUCUUAAA